AUUGAACGCUGGCGGCAGGCCUAACACAUGCAAGUCGAGCGGAUGAAGGGAGCUUGCUCCUGGAUUCAGCGGCGGACGGGUGAGUAAUGCCUAGGAAUCUGCCUGGUAGUGGGGGAUAACGUCCGGAAACGGGCGCUAAUACCGCAUACGUCCUGAGGGAGAAGGUGGGGGAUCUUCGGACCUCACGCUAUCAGAUGAGCCUAGGUCGGAUUAGCUAGUUGGUGGGGUAAAGGCCUACCAAGGCGACGAUCCGUAGCUGGUCUGAGAGGAUGAUCAGUCACACUGGAACUGAGACACGGUCCAGACUCCUACGGGAGGCAGCAGUGGGGAAUAUUGGACAAUGGGCGAAAGCCUGAUCCAGCCAUGCCGCGUGUGUGAAGAAGGUCUUCGGAUUGUAAAGCACUUUAAGUUGGGAGGAAGGGCAGUAAGUUAAUACCUUGCUGUUUUGACGUUACCAACAGAAUAAGCACCGGCUAACUUCGUG
rnacentral:rRNA from 1 species